AUUGAACGCUAGCGGGAUGCUUAACACAUGCAAGUCGAACGAGUGGCGGACGGGUGAGUAAUAUAUGGGAACGUGCCCCGGAGCGGGGGAUAACUACUCGAACGAGUGGAUAAUACCCAAUACUAUUGGAGCGGCCGAUUUUGGAUUAGCUAGUUGGUGGGGUAAAGGCUAACCAAGGCAACGAUCCUUAGCUGGUUGGAGAGGACGACCAGCCAAACUGGGACUGAGACACGGCCCAGACUCCUACGGGAGGCAGCAGUGGGGAAGUUUGGACAAUGGGGGCAACCCGGAUCCAGCCAUCCCGCGUGUAUGAGAAGGCCUUCGGGUUGUAAAGUACUUUUGGCAGGGAAGCGGUAUCUGCAGAAGAAGCACCGGCUAACUACGUGCCAGCAGCCGCGGUAAUUC
rnacentral:rRNA from 1 species